UUGAAAUCGAUUUGCUAAAGGUUUUGACAAAGACGCCAAUUUUUCUCGAAAAUGAUUCAAUUCGUUCCUUUUUCACUGAGAGUGUUUGUUCGUUGGGGAUUUUGCCAUUGAAUAUGGCUAAAAUUGAGCUUGAAAAAGCUAAAGCGAUCGCAUUGUUUAUUAUCCAGCAGCGGAUAAUAAACAAAUUGGACAAAACGUUAAUCUUACGUGCUCAAACAAGUCAAGUCUUGCAAUCCAAAGUGUGUGUUUGUCGGAGAUAUUGCCAUCAAAUACAACUGAUUCAGAGCUCAAUGAAGCUGAAGCGAUCGAAUUGCUUUCAGAAGAGAAAACAAACUAACUGGUACGAGUGUCGAUUAUACAUGUUCCAACGAGCCACAGCUAGCAGCACAAAGUAAAAGAAAUGAUGAUGUCUUUUCUCCGGAGCUUCUUUCGCAGACAACCUAUUUCUCUUGAAAACAUUGGAACCCUUUGCUUUGUCGAGGAAAUUGUUCAUUUAUCGAAAACAUUGCCGGCAAAUAAUGCGAGUGAAGAGUCCAGUCAGACUGAAGAGUGCGAAAUGUUUCCGGCAACUGAUAACAACACACUAACCUAUUCGUUGAUCAGAUGUCCUCAAAUACCACAUUAAAAACUAUGCCAACAAAACUUUCUGCAAGUGUUUCGCAACACUCUGAUGCAUUUAAAAACUUGGCUAUUCUAAGCAUCACUCCGACUUCUCUAACAAAUUUAACAGUUUCUGAGGAAGAUAACAGUGCCGAUUUUAAUAAUAGCGUAUGAGAUUGGGACGAUAUUGCGUUUAAUGUUUAUAAAUCUGUGCUUCCAUAACAAAAACAAAAUAAUGACGUUGACGAAAAAAGAGACACAGAGCUUCCGAUUCCAAAUUGUCGUACAAGCGAAGAUGCUAAUCGAUUGAUUAGCGAGGUCCCUAACAAGCCCAAUCUUUCUGAUAAGGAGAACGACAGUCGCAGCUCUGUCGUCUCUAAUAACUCCAGCGAUUUUUCGUACGUGCCUGAUUUUGAGAGUUCGAAUGGUAGCAUAGGACAAAAAGAACAGAAUAAUACCGAUAUUAAUAAUGUUUCUACGACAUCUCAAAACAUAUCGACGGAUUUGGAUGCUUCUUUUACAGUCAAUAAAGUUGAACCAGCGCACCAGACGACGUGGAAAUGUUUGUAAAAAGCGCUGAAUCUGGAAUUAAAAAGAAUUUUUGUGUUUUCUGCAAGGCGGAACAAGGAAAGUUAAGCCGACAUGUUAUCCGUAAGCACAAGGAUGAAGAGGAGGAAGUUCAAUUUUUGAGCUUCGAGAAAGGAUCUAACAAACGGAAGAAAAUAAUGGAAAAAAUUCGAAAACGUGGACAAUUCUAUUUUAAUACGAAUAGAGCUAUUAAUACUGGAGAACGAAUAGUUACGCGGAGGCCGAAUGCCAAGUAUAAAAAACUUGCUACAGAUUUCGUGACGUGUUCAUCAUGCCUUGCUGAUUAUGCAAAAACUUCUCUUCGACACUUGGAAUGAUUUAGCUGCCAGUAGCCUCAUUUCUAUUCGGCUGUUCAACAGACGUCGAGCAGGCGAAAUUGAACGGUAUAACUUUCCCCAGAUUGUGAAUUGCACGUAUUUUUGAGCUGCUUUCUGAAAAUCUUUAAUUAAUAUCCGUUUGAUUUCGCCUGGUCGACGUCUGUUGAACAGCUGAAUACCGAACAAAUACGGGUUGUUUUUAUUUACGUUUGCCAAAUGCCUGUUUUUUAAAAGAAGUUCUAAGCACAUUAGAAGUUCCCUGUGCAAUAACACUGGUACUGUACGGUUCAACUUUCCCCGGAUUGUGAAUCGUACGUA